rnacentral:RNase_P_RNA from 1 species
CCAGUCGGCCGGACGGCCGCUCCGCUCCUUCAUCGGAUCGGAGAGGAAAGUCCGGGCUCCACGGAAGCGCGGCGCCGGAUAACGUCCGGCGGGGGCGACCCCAGGGAAAGUGCCACAGAGAGCAAACCGCCUUCGGCCUUCGGGCGUGAGGGUAAGGGUGAAAGGGUGCGGUAAGAGCGCACCGCGCUGCCGGUAACGGGAGCGGCACGGCAAACCCCGCCGGGAGCAAGACCGAAUAGGGGCGACAUGCGGUCUUCGGGCCGCGGACCUGCUUCCGGGUCGUCGCCCGGGUUGGUUGCUCGAGGCGUCCGGCAACGGGCGUCCCAGAGGAAUGGCCGUCACGUGCGUCCGGUUUUCCGGGCGCGCCAUACAGAACCCGGCUUACAGGCCGACUGGCGCC